rnacentral:rRNA from 1 species
UACAGAGGGGGCAAGCGUUGUUCGGAAUUACUGGGCGUAAAGGGCGCGUAGGCGGCCAUCUAAGUCGAACGUGAAAUCCCCGGGCUCAACCCGGGAACUGCGUCCGAUACUGGCAGGCUUGAAUCCGGGAGAGGGAUGCGGAAUUCCAGGUGUAGCGGUGAAAUGCGUAGAUAUCUGGAGGAACACCGGUGGCGAAGGCGGCAUCCUGGACCGGCAUUGACGCUGAGGCGCGAAAGCCAGGGGAGCAAACGGG